rnacentral:rRNA from 1 species
AGAGUUUGAUCAUGGCUCAGAACGAACGCUGGCGGCGUGCCUAACACAUGCAAGUCGAACGAGAAAGUCGUAGCAAUACGAUGAGUAAAGUGGCGCACGGGUCAGUAACACGUGGAUAAUCUACCUCCGGGUGGGGCACAACCUGUCGAAAGACGGGCUGAUACCCCAUGAGACCACGGGAUCCUCGGAUCCUGUGAGAAAAGGUGGCCUCUUCCUGAAAGCUAUCGCCUGGAGAUGAGUCCGCGCACCAUUAGCUAGUUGGUAGGGUAACGGCCUACCAAGGCCGAAAUGGUUAGCUGGUCUGAGAGGACGACCAGCGACACUGGAACUGAGACACGGUCCAGACUCCUACGGGAGGCAGCAGUGGGGAAUCUUGGACAAUGGGCGAAAGCCUGAUCCAGCGACGCCGCGUGAGUGAUGAAGGCCUUCGGGUUGUAAAGCUCUGUCGGGGGGAACGAAACAGGACAACCUAAUACGUUGUUCGAUGACGGUACUCCCAAAGGAAGCACCGGCUAACUCUGUGCCAGCAGCCGCGGUAAGACAGAGGGUGCAAGCGUUGUUCGGAAUUACUGGGCGUAAAGGGCGUGUAGGCGGCGGAGUAUGUCCGAUGUGAAAUACCUCGGCUCAACUGGGGAAGGGCAUCGGAAACUGCUUCGCUAGAGUGCGAGAGAGGGUGGCGGAAUUCCCGGUGUAGAGGUGAAAUUCGUAGAUAUCGGGAGGAACACCAGAGGC